UGGGACUUGGCACCAAAAUUCCAAAAUCGGAAUUUUUUGACAGCUCUCGGGUAGCCUGCAGCAGGGCUUGUACCGGAACAAGACUGGCCUUGUACCGGUACAAGGGUUGAUGGUUGUACCGGUACAGCCAUCGGGCUUGUACCGGUACAGAGCCGCAGACCGCGCGACCCGAGCCUCGGGUUUGCAAUUUCGUCGGCCUUGUACCGGUACAAGAGCCCGUGUACCGGUACAAGGAGGCAGAUUUCGUGCAGUUUGUUCUGCAGGGGUGUUUUUGCUAUUGUAGCAAUACUAUAACAGCACCCACGCCCCUAGGGCUCUUCUUUGAGCUUGCCACUGCAGGGAGCAAGGUAAGGAGAGCUUCUCUUUGCUUCUCUUUGGUUUUAAUCUCCCUCUAGCCUAGAUUUUGAAGGAUUAAUCCCUUUUCUUUCCUCUUUUAUGCUUCUCCACCAUUGAUGGAGCUAGAAGCUUGGAUUUGGAGCUAAGUGGAGGAUAGAUCUUGGGAUUUAAAGGAUUUAGAGCUUGAUUUGAAGCUUCUAAGAGGUAAGCAUUACACUAUCUUCCUCUAGAUUUGAGUUUUAUUGGAUUUCAUGAGAUGAAACCCUAGAUUGUGAUAUUAGGGUUUAUUUUGGGCAUUUUGAAUCUAGGGCUUUUGAAGCUAGAUUGAUUGGAUUAGAGGCUUCCAUUAGGUUGGAUUGGAUGAGCCCUAGCUUCAUUUUGGAGCUUUAGAGGAGAUUUUUGCACUAGAGGUGAGUUCUUCUCACCUAUACUUGAUUAGCUUAAUGAUUGAGCUAUUGAUGGUUCGUUUCGUUCGUGUGACGCAUGUUUCUCUACCUCUAGGGUACUAGGAGACUAGAGGACACCCUCGUUGGAGCGCACGAGGAGUUUCGUUGCCAUCGGUGGGUUUGGCUUCGGGGAAAUGGGGCGAAAUGACCCCUAUGCUCUUUCUACUUAUUGUAAAAUAUUUUUAAGUUCAUUUCUAUGCUAAAUGGGAUUUAUAUGAAUUUUAGAGCACUUAAAAUGCAUGCCUCGUGUAUUAUGAAAAUUUCACUAUAUAGUAGAGCUAUAUGAGUAGAAUGCAUGCAUAUGGGAAAAGUGUUUAUUUUACAAGUGGAAAAUACAUCUCUUAUGAGGAUUAUGACUUGGAAUAUGUGCUUUGGAACAUAGUUGCCAUGUUUUGACAUAGAAAACAAGAGUGUCAUAAAGGGGCACUCGAAACUAGUGAACUAUGGAACUGCAACAUAGAGAUAUAUUGAUAGGCCUUUGUACAUCUGCUAUAUAUAUUCCAUGUUAGAGACAUGAUGACAUAGAGAUAGGCCUUUGGGACACUCGAUACAUUCCAUGUUAUUAGACAUGAGGACUUGGUACUUGCGACAGAUCGUUUGACUACUUGCCAUUGUGCUCAUUCGCACAUGCUUGUGAGGGUCGCUCCCUACAAGCCGGCACUCCGGAGAUAGCCAUCGCGAUACAUAUUCGCCGUGCGGGAUUGGGCGCCGAAGUGGAUUGCCGUGGGACAGGCUCAUCCCUAGGGUGGGGAUGAUGACUACCACGGGGCCAUUAGGCUCGGCACCGGCCAGACAGCCUACGGGUGGGUCUCAGGGCCAUAGACAGCCUUCGGGUGGGUCUCUUCAGAUUGGGCUAUAUAUAUAUAUAUCCAUUAUGACAUGUGGACAGAUGAUGACUUAGUGUACUACUUGGACAUUGAUUAGAAUAGUAAACAACGGAACUUCACUAUUUCACAUUGUGAACAUCAUGAUAGUUGGAGACAUUUACUUUAUGCAUAGUUGCUUUCAUACUUAUGCUAUUCAUGCUAAGUAGAGAUAUCAUGUCGUAGUAGGUUACAUAUUUACUUACCUGUCGCCUUUCUACUUUUAUUGUCACUGACAUCUUUUGUAGCUUUGGGCCUUGUGGUGCAUGCACUGAAGUCAGUAAUUGCCCACUGGGAACUAUUUUUAAUAGUUCUCAUGCCC
rnacentral:lncRNA from 1 species